UACAGAGGUCUCAAGCGUUGUUCGGAUUCAUUGGGCGUAAAGGGUGCGUAGGCGGCGCGGUAAGUCGGGUGUGAAAUCUCGGAGCUUAACUCCGAAACUGCAUUCGAUACUGCCGUGCUUGAGGACUGGAGAGGAGACUGGAAUUUACGGUGUAGCGGUGAAAUGCGCAGAUAUCAGGAGGAACACCGGUGGCGAAGGCGGUUCUCUGGGCAUGUCCUGACGCUGAGGAGCGAAAGUGUGGGGAGCUAACAGG
rnacentral:rRNA from 1 species